rnacentral:misc_RNA from 1 species
GCGGUGAGACAUCCAUUGCUCUGCAUCUCGCCUCUUAACUCUCAUUUCCUCCAAUCUUGUGGUUGUGGAUUGCAAAUAUGUCUGCAUAUUUCCAAUGAGAAAUGAAAACAACACCAAUCCUGAGAUAGAAAUGAGAACUGCAAAGCAGAUUUCCCAGACAAAGGUACUUGUUUCAAGGUUUUGACCAAGAGAACUCAGAUUUCGCAGGCCCCACCAAAAGCAGUAAAAAAACUUCUUUGGAAAAUCAUCAGAUGCCACAAUACCAGAUUGAAGGGCAUCAAGGAAUAUUCCAAAGUCGAAAAUAGUUGAAUUUGGUGUUUGUACAGGGCAAGAGACAUUAAGAAAUGCUGCAUUGUCUCCUUUAUUAGGACCACAGUACAAAUUAUCACGGAUGCAAUCAGGAUACCGACAGGCUUUUUUCCAGCAUGUUGUUUCUCUUUCUAUAGAAAACAAGUACCAAAAGGCUCCAAGUACAUGACUUGCAAGCAUGUAAAGAAACAGAUUAAAUGCAGCUCCUGCCCAUGCAGUUUCUGUCAAUAUGCCAGAAGUUCUUGUAACUUCCUUAUACAAUGGAUAGAGUCGCAUAACCCUUGGAAAAUACUGGAAGCACACAACAAAUUUUAACAAGUUCUUCGUAUUCAAAGAUCUUGAUCCUCUCAUUUUUGGAAUUAUGAUUAAAAUCACCACCUGCGGAAGUGGAAGGACUGCAAGGAUGUCCACUAAGAAAUACGAUGACAAGUACCUCUUGGCUAUUGCCCAAGAAUCUUCAACUAAAACACCUCUUCCAAAAACUCGAGAAGAUGGAGCAAUAAAACCAGUGCGAAACUGAAAAAUGAUAUGAAGUAUGUAAAAAAUAUCUGUGAACCAACGCAAGACACUAGCUGUAAUCUCCAUCUUCUUGUCCAAGUCCAGACACUUCUUAUCAUCAUUAAUCACAGGUACAUAAGGGAACAAAGGAUCCAGUGAAACGGCAAUCACACAUGAUAAUACAAAUAUCUUAUUCCAUUUUUGUAGGAAAGGUCCCUGAGGGUCAAGAACUUUUUUCCUGGAAUUCAAGCCUUUAGCAAUAGUACUACUAAAUGAAUAUGAUUUCAAUGAUUUUCUAAUUCUGUUGAUGCUUUCAGAGCCAGAUUCUAAUCCUCUUUGAAACUUCUCAGAAACGGAGCUUAUAGUCAUCCUAACUUUUCCUGAAUGUAUCCCAUUACUUCCAGAAUAUUGUACUUCGGUACUUUUCUCUGACUUCCAAUCCUGAAACCUCACAAACUUCUCCUGGGGAAAAUUCAUGACUACAGCUUAUUGAAGAAGUUACAAUGUGCACUGAAAAUCCAACCUUCAACAAAUAAAUAAACCCAAGAAUCUUCUUCAUACACCCCAAAGUAAUGGAAUUUCAAUCCCAAGGAAGAAAAUAUCAGAAAUUGAUCAACUACUGCAGUUCUUAUCAAAAGUAAAGACUUUUUCUU